rnacentral:lncRNA from 10 species
GUUUCUAAUGUCUUUAUUCCAACAAAUAUUUAUUAAGCAACCUACUAUAUGCACAAGCUAGGCCCUCUGGUUAUAAGGUCAAUGAGAGCUUGGCUUUGCAGAAUCUGUUGCCUUUCUAGCCUUGGCAUGUGAACAAUUUCUUGUUAUGCAAGGUCUUGAUAGGAAUAGCAGGGCGACUGUGGCUGUGGCUGGUUGGGCUUUCAUGUGAGAGCCCCGGGCCAGCUCCCCAGGUGACUCCUGACUGCAUACACGCUCAUGUGCUCACAGACACUCCCAAAGGCCCAGCACGGCAGGUCUCAGAUGUGCUCGCCCUCUGUUUUUCUCGCUCCCCACUGGUGAGUGAGCUGUGGUCUCAGGGACGCCCCUUAGCAGCUGCUUGACCACGGGCAGGUCUUCACUUCUCUGCAGUUCAGUUCCCUCCUCUCAAAACUGGCAAAACAAUAGUAACUACUUGAUUGGGGUGAUAUGAGCUAACUAAAUGAGUUAAUUUCUAUAAAGUCCUGACAACAAUAUUGGCAUACAGCAAAUGUCAGGAUGAUUUUAGCUCUUCUUGUUAUAAUUACAGAUCUGACUGAAUAAAUCUAAAGUCCAGAGGCUGGAGGAACAGGUGGGUCAGGAAGCAGUUAUGGGAGAAUAAAGGAAAAGAUUUCCGGAACUCUUUCAGAGCACACACAGAACAGCAGGCCACAGCUUUUCCCGGGGCUCAGCUUGGCCCCCUGUUAGCCGAGGCGGGUGCACCCCGAGGACCCCAUGUGGUUGAUCACCUACUUCCCUUCUGAGAGGGCCUUGUUCUGCUGGUCAGCCUCUUAGCUGAACACCCUGAAGGAAAGGUGUAAGGUAUAAGGCUCACUCAUCUCUCAGUGGGGAGGCCUUUCCUUCAACUCAAAUAAUUACAUGUGGAUGCCUCUAGGGGAGCCUCAACAUCCGGUUGAUAGAAUCCCACCAGCUCCAUGGCAGUUAAUCAAAUUCACAAAUGUGGAUGGGCCACAGAAGACGUCCAGGUGGGUCAGCAAGCCAGCAGUGCUUAGAACCACAAAAUACCCUGACCCAAAUAGUUACUAUAGAAGGCAGAAACACGUUUACACAAUUUCAGCCUGCAUCUCAGAGGGCAUUAAGGGGCCAGAACUUUGAUUAAACACAAGUGUAGGCAAUUAUGAAAAAGCAGCAGUGGGAGAACAAGGGAGUGUUCUUAGAAAUAGAAAUGGUCCACAGUGGCCCAAAUUAAAGCAAAACCCACUAGAGGCGGUGAGUCCCAAAAUGGACUCUAAAAUCUGAGGCAGGAAAGACUCCACCUGGAGAAAUCCUUACGGAGCAGAGCAAGAGUAAAAUGUGAUGGAAAUGGCAGGAAAGAGCGGAGAGAAGGCAGAUAUAGGAUUCCCUCAUGCAUUUAGUGAGCAAAGAUCCACUAGAUCCUCCUCAAUGGUCUUAGCAAGGGGCAUCUAGCAGUGAAGAAAAUCAGCUGGGCACGGUGGUGGCACGUGCCUGUCAUCCCAGCUACUGGCGAAGCUGAGGUGGGAGGACUGCUUGAACCUGGGAGGUUGAAGCUGCUGCAGGCUAUGAUCACACCUGUGAAAAGCCACUGCACUUCAGUCUGGGCAACAGAGUGGGGCCCUGUCUCUUAAAAAAAAACCCCUGCUUGCUUGAAGCACAUGUUUAGUGAGGGAUGAAAGACAAUAAGCAAGUCAGGACACAUCGAAUGAGAGAAAGCGGUCAGGGCUUUGGAAACCUAGAGUGAGGAAGAGGAAAAGAAGGGGUGGGGACGAGGGAGAGAGCUGCAGUCUUAAAUAAGGUGGCCAGAAGGAGCCUGCUGUGCAGGGAGCUCUGAGCAGAGAGCUGAAGGCAUCAGGGAGCAAGCGGGGAGACGUGGGGGCUGCAUUCCAAGCAGGGGGUUGGUGCUGUGGAGACCCGGAGAUGGUGGUGGCAUUGCGGGGAGGGCUUGAGCUGGGGAGUUUGGGGGGCCACUGUGGGUGGAGAAGGGGAAGUGCUCAGCAGAGGAGGCCCAUUUGGGACAUCUUAGGACUCUGGGAUGGAAAGCCAUUGAGGGAUUUUCAACAAAGAAGUGACAUGACUUUCACUUAAUGCUUUAACAAGACCAUUCUGGCUGCUGUGUUGUGACUAGAUUCCUGGAGGGGUCGGUAAGGGCAGAAGUAGGAAGAAGAGGGAGGACGCGACAUGAUUCUGGGAGUGACGGUGGUGGCGUGUCCUGGGCUGAGCGUGAGGGAGGUGACGAGAAGUGGCUGCUCUCUGGGUUUUCCUUGUAGGCAAGUCCAGCAGGAUUUGCUGACAGUGGGUUUGGAUGGAGGAGAAGCAGGGUAGUUGAAGACAAAUGAGAUUUGGAUCUAAGCAACCGAAAGAAAGGCAAAGAAGUUCCCAGCGGACUGCUUUUGUUUGUUUGUUUGUUUUGUUUUUGAGAAGGAGUCUUGCUUUGUCGCCCAGGCUGGAGUGCAGUGGCACAAUCUCGGCUCACUGCAACCUCCGCCUACUGGGUUCAAGCGAUUCUCCUGCCUCAUCCUCCCGAGUAGAUGGGAUUACAGGCACGCGCCACUAAGCCUAGCUAAUUUUUGUAUUUUUAGUAGAAAUGGGGUUUCACCAUGUUGGCGAGGAUGGUCUCUAUCUCUUGACCUUGUGAUCUGCCUGCCUCGGCCUCCCAAUGUGCUGGGAUUACAGGCGUGAGCCCCCCCCGCACCCAGCCUGCGGACUAUUUUUUUAUGGGGGGGGGGGGGGAAUCAGGAGUUUGCCCUUUGUGUUUUCAAUUUAAGAUUCGGCAUUUGGGAGGAGCUGUCUGGUGGACUACAGGAAAGGCGAGUGUGGAGCUGGUGUGAGAAGCUGGCUGGGAGAGGGCUGUUCCUUGGUGACUCACGGGCGGAAAGGUGGCCUUUAAACAGUGAGGGUGGGUGAAGUCAUCGGGGCAGGAGCGUGCCUCCAGAGGGCCAGGGACUGUGCCUGAAGCUGGGCUCUCCUGGGCUACAGGGGCUGCGAGGGAGGCUUGAGGGGCUGGGGAGCGAGGGGCAGGCUGAGACCCUCCUGUGGGAAAGCAUUGCAAGCUGGGAAUGUUUAGCGGUGGCCAGUACCUCAGAGUGCAGCAGGGCGAGGCGGAAAAGAGACUGACCAUGUCUGAGUGGUUUUGGUGGAGUGCUGGGUAAAGGUGAAUGUGUCAGGGUGUGAAGGAGAAAUAGGAGCUGUGCGGAAACGGGUGCUGGGAAAGGGGGAGGUUGCUGGGGAAAGAGGUGUGGGGUCCUGAGGGGGCCUUUGAAAGGUAACGUGGAGAAUUCCUACUGGAUUUGGCCUUCACUGGAAUACCCUAGAGGAGGGGGAAGUUGGAGGUGAGGGCGUGGCCGGUGGCUGAGUAGAUGGCCUGGGGGGGCCUGGCCCAGAGAGCUCUUGGGAAGGUCUUAGGGCAGGACCAGGGGCCGCGGGGGCAGCAGAUGGCACACGGGGGCGGGGUGUCGGAGGCGGCCUGUGCAGAUCCCCUGACCCCCUGCCUUCUCAGGGCUACAGAAACAAGGCCGUCAUACUUAGAGGUGCUGGGCGGCUGAGGAGUGGAGCGGGUGGGAGGUGCGGGGCUGCAGGGGGAUUAGCUCCCAGCAGCCGUGGGUCCCCCUGAGGAUGCCGGGGUCAUAAUGCACAAAGCCACCCUCUCCAAACACCUCCAGCUGCCCAGGCGAGGCGGCGCGCAGGCGGAGAGCAGGAGGGACGCGAGGGUGAGGGGCUGAGCCGGGGGCCAGGGCGUCUUCAAGGCAGCGCUUUAAGGAAAGGGCCAUGGAGUUCCAGCUGGGGCAGGACAGGAGGAGCCGGGGACGGAGAAUCUGAAGGUGUGACCUUCCCAUUCUUCUGUGACAAACCUGGUGCUGCCCAGCAGAGUGGAAAGAGCAUGUUUUUUUUUGUGGUAAGUUCCAACGGCAGCUGCACCAGGUAAGAGCUGUGUGAUUUUGGACUCAUAACUUACCAGCUCUGAGACUUCUUUUUCUCAUCUAUAAAAUGGGGAAGAGAGCAAGUAACUACACAGAAACUUUGGGAAGACUGAAGAGGCCUUGCCGAUGAAGCACGUGGCACCCAGAAAGUGCUUAUGAACCUGCCUAACUCCUCACUGCCUAGCAGACAGCAGCUUUGGAAUGUCCAGCAGACACAGUCAAGACUGAACUCACUUCCUUCCUGCAGCCUGCUCCUCCGGCCUCUUCCAAGUCUCCACUGGUGAUACCACCUUCCGCUCCCUCACAGGGGGUCAUGGUGAAUGCCUCAGCUCCUUAACCCCCGUUAUGGAAGGCCUUUGGAAUUCACUCUCCUUUAAUGGGUCUCAUAUUCCCCCCUUUCUUUAUUUAUAUUGGUACUUCCUUAGUUUAAUUCAUCAAGAUCUUGGCCUUUGAAGGAGUUAUUUCCUUUCUGCACUGCCUUUCUUUUGUCUGCCCAGCAAAUCCCACCUGGUCCUCUCCUCCCCUAUCCGUGCUCAACGUCCCUUCCUGGGUGAAGCCUUCCUCACCCAACACAUAGCACUUGGGUUAUGGCCAGUUGAGUCUCCCAGCAGCAGGAGCCUUCAUGUCUCCAAUGGCCUCUGCUCCUAGCACGCCUGCUGGCACCCACAGGUGUUUAUGGAAUUGACUCAGUGUCUAGGAAAAUAUGCAUUUAUUUCAAAAAAUACGUAGUAAAAUAAAAAUUAGAUUCAAGAAAACAUCCCUAUAAAUUUUGGUCUGUGAUAGUGCCAUACACAGUAAUGUUAUCAGAACAUCUGUCAUUGGUCAAGGCUGAGGAGGAAGCUCUGUUUUGAUCAGCAUCUUGGACCACCAGUGAUGAAGACUUUCACUCACUGAAGUCCACAUUCUUUCUGCUGGGGGAAAAUCCAGGUAGCUACAGGCCUCUGUCUGGCAGGGGUGUGCAACGGUGAGUGGUGAGGCAGCAUCCUGACCCAGAGACCAGUUGGUUGCCCUGCACUCUGACAGGGAGGUGGGACCCUGGCCACAUGAAUCGCCUGCCAUGACCCCAGGCCCCCUUCACUGUAUCCCCUGCUGUGUGCUUCCUCUCUGCCUGCUCGCCUGUGCCAGCCCCACUUGGCUUGUGCUCCUGAGACCUCUUCUUCUCUCCUUCAUGCUUUCAACUUGCAGGAAGCUUCCUGCCCGCUCAGUGGUCACCGUAAGAUUGGUUCCCAGAGAGUCAGCCCUUUGGUGGCAAACAGAGGGGCUGGAGGAGGGGAGGGUCUGCUCCCUGCAUUCAGGGCUGCCUCUGCCUGGGACCCACGCUCCUGGGGUCCUGGACUUGCCCUUCACCUCUCCUCUCAUUCUCGCCCCUGGUGGCCCCUCAGCUGCUCCCUGGGUUUUACCCUUGGUACCUGAUAUAGUUCGGCUAUUUCCCCACCCAAAUCUCAUCUUGAAUUCCGACGUGUUGUAAGAGGGACCUGGUGGGAGGCAAUUGAAUUACGAGGGCAGGUCUUUCCCAUGCUGUUCUCUUGAUAGUGAAUAAGUCUCAUGAGAUCUUACAGUAUUGUAAGGGGGAAUUUCCUUGCCCAAUUUCUCCCUCUUUGCCUGCUGCCAUCCACGGAAGACGUGACUUGCUCCACCUUGCCUUCUGCCAUGAUUGUGAGGCUUCCCUUGCCACGUGGAACUGUAAGUCCAAUUAAAACUC